AGCGUAGGCGGACAUUUAAGUCAGGGGUGAAAUCCCAGAGCUCAACUCUGGAACUGCCUUUGAUACUGGAUGUCUUGAGUGUGAGAGAGGUAUGUGGAACUCCGAGUGUAGAGGUGAAAUUCGUAGAUAUUCGGAAGAACACCAGUGGCGAAGGCGACAUACUGGCUCAUUACUGACGCUGAGGCUCGAAAGCGUGGGGAGCAAACA
rnacentral:rRNA from 1 species